CAGUAGCCACGGGAAAACGUAGGGUGCAAGCGUUAAUCGGAAUUACUGGGCGUAAAGCGCACGCAGGCGGUUUGUUAAGUCAGAUGUGAAAUCCCCGAGCUUAACUUGGGAACUGCAUUUGAAACUGGCAAGCUAGAGUCUUGUAGAGGGGGGUAGAAUUCCAGGUGUAGCGGUGAAAUGCGUAGAGAUCUGGAGGAAUACCGGUGGCGAAGGCGGCCCCCUGGACAAAGACUGACGCUCAGGUGCGAAAGCGUGGGGAGCAAACAGGAUUAGAUACCCCAGUAGUCCCUGUCUCUUAUAC
rnacentral:rRNA from 1 species